UGUUGUACAAUCUUCUUCUUACUUUAUUUUUCAGCCUGUCUUUUCAGUCCCUUUACACUUUCAGAACGUACAAUGUUGAUCACUUCAGGUAUUAAAGCAACUUAAGUAACAAAAUCAGCAUAAAAGCACAGAGAUUUCUGAAUUAACUGUUUCUGUUUUGCCUUGAAGAAAUCCCCCACAGUUGGGCACUGAGAGUUUGUUGGAAGCUCUAACCAGGAGGCUCGGCUGCCGUUUGCCACCCUCGCGGGAAGAGCAUUCCUCCUCCUUCCCUGGGGAAAGCCUCUCCCAGAAGGUUUUGCUGAGGAGCAGGGGGAGGACAGGGCUACACAGCCACCCCUUCUGCCAAAUCUCUCUGAGGAAACAAGUGGUGACAGCUCAGGUCCCCCAAAACAGCUUCUUUCAAUCCAGGACUUUCUGUAGAAGAGGUAAAUGUGUUCACUUAGGGGACAAGCAACCAUACAGAAAACAGGAAGAUGGAUGCAACUGCUGGAACAUUCCACAGAUGAGAACCUCAGGCAGGGAGUCAGGACUCAAAGCUCCAUCUUCAGGCUUUUGUCUUGAAGUGUGAUUCAAGUUUUUAAAAUAUUUUCAUCCCUUAUGGAAAUACUCAUUAAUUUUUUGGGAAAACUUGUUUUAACCGUGAGCACUGAGGAGAUAAGUUCGUGUUAGGAAGCUUGUUUGCCACAGAUUUUUCAGACCCAAGGAAGAGCUGCCAGUGGUAUCACAUCAACAUUGGUUGAGUUAUUCCAACAAUGAUGCUCAGCUGAGGCCCCAGGCAAGCAGGGGUGGAGACGAUUUUAUCCUCCACCUUGGCCUUUGUCUUUGGUCCAUUCUGUGGCACUCUGCAGUGGCAGCGGCUGCUGUUCUGUGGGGAGACAACCUACAGGGAGAAGAGACGAAGCUGAGACAGGGAAACUUGUCACUCCUAAACUGUGACCUCACUGUGACAUUUUCCUUUCUAAGAAAUGAAAAUAGUACCUGUUCUUCACUUCUCAAAAAAGACGUUGAAAUGACUGAAAAAAUUGGAAGUACUGUCUAUGAUUUGUUUCUUUAUGGAUUUUCACUUUUGUGAUCUCCCAGUUUUAAGAUUAAAGACAGAACCAAAGAGAAUAUGUCUGGUAGUACUGUGAAAAGCAUUUUACAGUCAUUUCUAACAUAUACAGUGGCCAAGAUAUUUUCAUUUCUAAAAAGAACUGCAUCUGCAAAGAGACUCUUGCCUUGAGCUUUUCCUAGCGACUCAAAUAGAGACCCAAGGUGUCUAAAACCUCUCAACUGAAGAAUGUGCGUGUCAGGGGACAAGGGGAGUGACAUUCCAGAUAUUCGUGACACCUCUGGAAAAUCAUCUUUGUCAUCUGUAGAAGGCAUCUCUUAAUGUUUCUAUGCAAACACCCACGAGCAUGUCCUAGUUUUCCUUCAGCCUCAGAAAAGCACCCAAAGAUUCUGUAGUGUUAGGCAUAUGCUACAAAGCAUUAAGAGGGAAAGAAGAUAAAACAGAUUCCACAUUGAUAUUCUGUGUGUUUUUCAUUAUUAGGUCAAGUAUAUUCAGAGUAUCAAAUUUUUGUAUUGCUUUGUAAUGAUCACGCCUUGAAUCCAGGAAGAAAUGCAUCUUCUUCAAUGGAGCUGAGAAUAAGUAUCACAGUUUAAGCUGGUUUUGAUUUGUUAUUCAUUGAAAACAAAGCAAGUUGUUGGUUUUUAAUAAAUGUUAAAACCAAUCAAUAAAAAGUAAGUUGGACUUAUGAAACGGUCCAUUUGGGACUCAUAGAAUAUAGAUGAACUAAAGUGUUUUAGCAAAGCACCUGAAAGGUCGAAAAGAUGUUGUUUCUGGAAUGGCUGGAGAUUUAAAGCACAAGUGCUAGAAAAGAAAACAAAGGAAAAUUCAAUUCGGAUUUAUCAACAACAUGAAGCCAGGAGACAUGAAGCUGGAAAAUAAGCAAGCUAAUUACCAUCAGUGAAUAAUAAAUUAGACCUCCACUAAACAGAACAACAUUUAUUUAAGUAGAAAUAAAAAUAAAAGUACUUCUUAUAUUGCCCA